UUCUCCCUUCCCAGCCGCUAUAAAAGGGAAUGCGCGAGCCCCGCCGGAGUUCCCUCCGCCAUCGCUGCCUUUCCGCCAUUUCUCUUGCUCCCUGCUCAAGCUCCCAGCACCACACACUAAGUCCCUGAGGAACUCUCCUCUCCGCUCCACUCCAUUUUCCCCAAGCCAUCCAGCUCACUUGUGAUCCACAAGAAGCACUACCGCCGCCGGAGUACUGCAGGACCUAGCCGUUGUUCAAAACCUUAGCCCCUCCGCCCAGGCCUGUUUCUUCCCGACCCCAAGCUUUCCUUGUAGGAAGAAGGUAAGCUGCCGACCCCUAGUCCGUCUCGUCCGACCCUUGUCCGCUUCGCCCGACCCCUCUUAUCCGCUCGACCCCAGUUCCGUCUCGCCCGACCCUGUCUGUUCCGCCGACCCUUCUCCGCCUCGCCCGAGGGCUCGGCUGUAACCUUUUUCUUCAAACUAAGGGUGUAUGUGUAAAACUUGGGAACCCUUCAGCGUUGAGUCUGAGGAUCCCUAGCACACCAACCCUCUGGUUUAAGGGCCAGAUCACAAGUUCCUUUCCUCGGACCCUUACCUCUUGAUCUCCACCAGCUCUCUUGAACCUUCCCACCCUCCU
rnacentral:lncRNA from 1 species